CAAAAGCGUAUAUUAAAGUUGUUGCAGUUAAAAAGCUCGUAGUUGAACCUUGGGCUUGGCUGGCCGGUCCAUCUUUUUUGAUGCGUACUGGACCCAGCCGAGCCUUUCCUUCUGGCUAGCCUUUUGGCGAACCAGGACUUUUACUUUGAAAAAAUUAGAGUGUCCAAAGCAGGCCUUUGCUCGAAUAUAUUAGCAUGGAAUAAUAGAAUAGGACGUUAUGGUUCUAUUUUGUUGGUUUCUAGGACCAUCGUAAUGAUUAAUAGGGACGGUCGGGGGUAUCAGUAUUCAGUUGUCAGAGGUGAAAUUCUUGGAUUUACUGAAGACUAACUACUGCGAAAGCAUUUACCAAGGACGUUUUCAUUAA
rnacentral:rRNA from 1 species